GCAAGGGGGGAAAGAAUCAAGAUGAAAAUCAACGACAACCCAGAGAUUUGUUGUCAGUUUUAAUAGGAGGAGUGGAGUCAGAGUUUAGAGAAAUGUAGAAAAAGACCUUUUACUUUUUGCUGGAACAUGAUAUGGUUUGUGCAUGGCACAUACAUAUUAAAAAAAUAGAGGUAUCACAUUUCACAGUCACAUGACCGAACAGCAUCUGGGUUGUACUACGUGCUGUGCCUAAGCUGGAGGGCAGCUCUACCCUGGGACCAGCCUGAGGUACUCAGCGAUUUACAGAAAGAGGAAACCACUCAGGACACAGCUCUCUGGUGCUGGAAUUUCAGUCGUUCAAUGAGGUAUACAAACAUGGUUCUGCGUUGGCUAUCUGCAUGAUGGACCAGAUUCAGGACCUGCUUGGGACAUCAUCCCAUCUUCCACCUGUUCUGGGAAGAGGAAGCAUCAACUCAGAUUCAUGCCGUCCACCAGCCAUCCCACAUUCCAAGCUCCACUAGGAACUGAUAUGCACCUCAGGCUUGGGGUGCCUGCAUUUCUGAUGGACCCUGUUCAAGAGACUGAUUGCACUGGACAAGACUCCCUAAAAAACAGUGGAGAGUUUUAUCCCCGCCUCCAAGCAGACCUGCACUUCAACCUUCCACGGAAUCAAGAUGGACCAGUUUUCUCCCUUUUCUACCACAUCCAAGGGUCUGCCGUGUGCACACGUGCUCUGGGGCUUCUACAGUUUCUUCCAUCUUCAUGUACCUGGGUGUGGCCUUUUCCUCCUCACCCACCACAUGUCCUUCCUGACAUUUGCAGGGCACAGGAGGUGGCCAGUAAGGUGUCUCCCCCUUUGAUUGCCAACUUCCCAUCUUCAGCUGAGAAUCCCUCAACCCAGAUCUAUCUAUAGAUGGAUGCAACUGCAAAUAGCAAGUUCAGCCUCACACCCUCUCACUCUGCCGUCUCUGCACUUUGAGGACAGCUGCUCCCUGCUGACCUGUGCAACCCCUGUAGUUAGUGGCCUCUGAAUGGAAAGAUGAUUGGAAAGAGGCAGAAUGGGAGCACACAUCAAUCCUGCUGGUUUGACAAGUGACAUUCUUACAGGCAGAUUCCUGCAGCGAUGAUGCUAGGAGAAAGAAACCUGAUGCUUUGAAAUGCCAUUGCUCUGAGAAUGUAUAUAAAGCUGUAUGGAUGUACGACAAUGCACACAAAGUCCUACCCUGGCCUUGUCCUGUGCACACGGUCACAUUCCACAAGUGUCACCGAUACCUUCUCUCCUCGAGGGAGGUCAGAGCAUGGGAUAAAUUGCCAUUCUAAAGUUGCUGAUUGCAGCCGUCGUUUGAAUGGGCUGCAGGCCGUGGGGUCCAGUGGCCGAGGGAAACAACUGGGGUCUCCCCAAGCACAAGAUGAGCCUGAUUCAGAAGCCGUGGAAGGCAAGGGGUAUUAUUCGCUUGCGCAAAAUUCCAAUAGAACAGAUGCUGCUUUAAAUCUGAGCCUUCUUUCGUGGGUCCUUAUAUCCUGGGAAGGAAAUGAGUGACAGUCAUGAUCGGGGACACCUUGCUGCCCCGCUUUACCCGUCCGUAUUUGCUCAGGGCGAUGUAGGUCCCUCGGUACAAGUCUGACUCAUAGGCGUUGUAAUUGUUGGGCAGGAGGGUUUCUCUGAACUUGCAUUCUUCUUGGAAGCUGGGCUGUGAAAGACAUGGGCAAACAGCAGAGACUGCGUUAGAAAUGAGGAGUGCUGCAGAUGCCAGCUGGGCCGCAGAGAGUAGGCCCCUCUGCCAGGUGCCCUUCCCUUCUCUUUGUGAGACAACCACCGUGAGGUCUGAGCAUCCUGGGUGAACAGAAUGGUGAAAGGUUA